rnacentral:lncRNA from 1 species
UGAAUAUGGAUCAGUAGAUGGUGUGACAAUCUUAGAAGGCAGUAUACAAUAUGAGGAAGGUAUAAAAGUAGGGUCACGGGAGGAGUGGUGUAAUAAGAACAGGGGGGAGUGGGGGUUUUAAUCACAGGAGGAGGAAGAGAGUCUGUUGUAGGGGAAAAAGGAGGGUGUGUUACAGGGGUAGGAGUAAGGUGUAUUGUAGGGGUAGGAGGAGGGUGUAUUGCAGGGGUAGGAGGAGGCCCUAUGGAUGAUGGACUGGGGGCAGCAAUGGUAGGUAGUGUAGCAGGCACCCUGAUGGGUGUCGCCGCCCAAUCAAAUUUGAUUGCAAUUGAGAAUAUGCAGUAUAGUGCUAGGAAGUGACUCCUAGGUCGUCUCUCAAGGACCAAAUGUGGUUCGAGUCUUAGGUCUAACACGAAGUGGGGGGGAGGGGG